ACAUGUCUGUUCUGGGUCUGGGCAGGAAGUCUCGGCUGUUCUCCAAAACCAGUUCCAUCUCUGAGGAGUCUCCGACCGGCGGCAGAACGAUAACUUGAACUACUAACCUGUAAACUGACGCUGUGAAGGAGUAAUGAGGGGCUUCUGGUGAAUGUUGUGAUCACAUGAUGCACAGCGAGGUGCUGACCUCUGACCUCUGACCUCCCCUGUGGACAGCAGCUCCUCUUCCUCAGACGUCUCUCAGCAGCAGAAGUCUCCCCAGUUGAACUCAGAGCAGCCGAGCAACAAGACGGAAACUAAAACCAGUUUCAA